GACGAACGCUGGCGGCGUGCUUAACACAUGCGAGUCGAACGGAAAGGCCCUGCUUGCCGGGUACUCGAGUGGCGAACGGGUGAGUAACACGUGGGUGAUCUGCCCUGCACUUCGGGAUAAGCCUGGGAAACUGGGUCUAAUACCGGAUAUGACCUUCCAUGUAGUGUGGGGGGUGGAAAGAUUUAUCGGUGUGGGAUGAGCCCGCGGCCUAUCAGCUUGUUGGUGGGGUAAUGGCCUACCAAGGCGUCGACGGGUAGCCGGCCUGAGAGGGUGGACGGCCACAUUGGGACUGAGAUACGGCCCAGACUCCUACGGGAGGCAGCAGUGGGGAAUAUUGCACAAUGGGCGGAAGCCUUAUGCAGCGACGCCGCGUGGGGGAUGACGGCCUUCGGGUUGUAAACCUCUUUCGACAGGGACGAAGCUUCGGUGACGGUACCUGUAGAAGAAGCACCGGCUAACUACGUG
rnacentral:rRNA from 1 species